rnacentral:tRNA from 1 species
GGAGAGAUGGCAGAGCGGUUGAAUGCGGCGGUCUUGAAAACCGCUGAGCGCGAUGAGCGCUUCGUGGGUUCGAAUCCCACUCUCUCCU